rnacentral:rRNA from 1 species
UACGGAGGAUGCGAGCGUUAUCCGGAUUUAUUGGGUUUAAAGGGUGCGUAGGCGGGCUUUUAAGUCAGCGGUAAAAAUUCGGGGCUCAACCCCGUCCGGCCGUUGAAACUGGGGGCCUUGAGUGGGCGAGAAGAAGGCGGAAUGCGUGGUGUAGCGGUGAAAUGCAUAGAUAUCACGCAGAACCCCGAUUGCGAAGGCAGCCUUCCGGCGCCCUACUGACGCUAAGGCACGAAAGUGCGGGGAUCGAACAGG